rnacentral:lncRNA from 1 species
GUUAGACAUGGGCACUCCACAGAAGGAUGUUAUUAUCAAGUCAGAUGCACCGGACACUUUGUUAUUGGAGAAACAUGCAGAUUAUAUCGCAUCCUAUGGCUCAAAGAAAGAUGAUUAUAUUCUUACGCUGUAUGACAGUAUUAAUGUUAUUGACGUAAAUAAAGUUGUGGAAUAUGUUAAAGGUCUACAGAAAGAAGAUGGUUCUUUUGCUGGAGAUAUUUGGGGUAAUGUCAGAUUUAGUCCAUUCUACCCAAAAUACCAAUAUUAAAAUGUACUGGUUUUGCUAGUAACCAGUUUAUAAGUUUUUCAUCUUUUCAGGUCCCACUAAGCAGCUGGUCUAACUGGAGUUAAUGGUCUGCUGGAACUUCCAGCAUGCACUGUGGUAGUUAUAUCAGCAUAUACAGGAGCACUGGAACAGAGGGGGCCAGUCUAAAAGAUAAGGGAUGAACACAGUGCAGGCCAGAGAGACCAGCUGCUUCAUGGGAUGUGAAAAAUCUACUUUUAUAAAGUAGGGAGAAAUUGACACAAGAUUCUCUUUUUGUGCGGUGGCAACUUUGGCUUUGUUGGGGAAGCUUGAUGCUAUUAAUGUGGAAAAGGCAAUCGAAUUUGUUUUAUCCUGUAUGAACUUUGACGGUGGAUUUGGUUGCAGACCAGGUUCUGAAUCCCAUGCUGGGCAGAUCUAUUGUUGCACAGGAUUUCUGGCAAUUACAAGUCAGUUGCAUCAAGUAAAUUCUGAUUUACUUGGCUGGUGGCUUUGUGAACGACAAUUACCCUCAGGCGGGCUCAAUGGAAGGCCGGAGAAGUUACCAGAUGUAUGCUACUCAUGGUGGGUCCUGGCUUCCCUAAAGAUAAUUGGAAGACUUCAUUGGAUUGAUAGAGAGAAACUGCGUAAUUUCAUUUUAGCAUGUCAAGAUGAAGAAACGGGGGGAUUUGCAGACAGGCCAGGAGAUAUGGUGGAUCCUUUUCAUACCUUAUUUGGAAUUGCUGGAUUGUCACUUUUGGGAGAAGAACAGAUUAAACCUGUUAAUCCUGUCUUUUGCAUGCCUGAAGAAGUGCUUCAGAGAGUGAAUGUUCAGCCUGAGCUAGUGAGCUAGAUUCAUUGAAUUGAAAGUUGCAUAGUAUAGUUUUGCCAUUUUAACAUUUCUGUAUUUGAAGUGCUUAUCGAAUCUAAAAGUGACUACUGUUAAUAUUUUGUAUAUUGUGUUAAAUUAAUUUUAAUAAAUUAUAUAAUUAUACAUAUUGUAAAAUAAAGACCGGUAUUUUAUUUUC